rnacentral:tRNA from 1 species
GCCUGGGUGGCUCAGUUAGUUGAGCGUCUGACUUCGGCUCAGGUCAUGAUCUCGCGGUUCGUGAGUUCAAGCCCCGCGUCGGGCU